UUCCGGGGGUAUGUUUAGUUCCGGGGGUUCCUCUGCAUGAGCCACGGCUCCCGCCGCCGCCUCCUCGGCUGCAGUAAUGAUCCCGAUCCCGGUGGUGGUGUGCGUGCUGGGGGGCUGGUGCGCCAUCUACCUGGCGGAUACGCUGCUUAAGUCAUCCAGCUCUUUGAAAGCAUCUUAUGAAGACUGGCUGCUGACAUAUGGCUUGAAUGUCUCUCCUUUUCACAUGCGAUGGCAAACUGCUCUCUUCAACCGCCAGUUCUACAACUGGGGGCGAUGGAAACCCAGAUUUCUUUAUCUAUGGUUCAGCAUAGGAAUGGUAUUUGGUAUAGUUGCCAUGUUUGGAUCUGUUAUUCUUCUUGGAAAAACACUGAUGCAGACACUGACACAGAUGCUAACUGAGGCCCCAAAAGCCCAGAAUGACCGUAUGCUGCAAGUUGUGGUGCCUGGUGUAAAUUUGCCUGUCAGCCAGCUGACCUAUUUCUUCUCUGCAAUCCUCGUCAGUGGUGUGAUACAUGAAGUCGGCCAUGGGGUGGCAGCUAUUCGAGAACAAGUACGAUUUAAUGGAUUUGGGAUUUUUAUCUUCAUUGUCUAUCCUGGAGCAUUUGUUGACCUCUUCACAACUCACUUGCAACUUAUAUCUCCAGUCCAGCAAUUAAGGAUAUUUUGUGCAGGAGUAUGGCAUAACUUUGUUCUUGGUGUUGCAAGUCUUACAGUUUUGUUUCUGCUACCAGCCAUUCUUUUCCCUUUCUAUUACACGGGUGUUGGGGCACUUAUCACAGAAGUCACAGAGGAUUCUCCUGCCAAUGGACCAAGAGGUCUUUUCGUGGGAGAUCUUGUCACUAGCCUUCAAGACUGCCCAGUGUAUAAUGUGGAAGACUGGAAUUCAUGUCUGGGAGACAUUUCACAAAAGUCACAGAUUGGCUACUGUAUAAAUGCAGCAACCCUACAGCAAUUAAGUUUUCCAACUAGAGUUUAUAGAAGACUCGAUGGCACAGUUGAAUGUUGUAAUAACAACAGCCUCACAGACAUUUGCUUUUCAUACAGCAAUAACUUGGACAGCAACUUGUAUGCCUGUCUACCAGCACGAAAAGUUAUUGAGGCCAGCCAAGUUUGUCGAACUAACAUGGACUGCCAGAAGGACUUUGUUCCGAGCUUGUGUGUGACUCCUUCUUUAGAGAACCAAACAAGGCUAAUCAGGGUAAAACAUCCACCUCAUAUUGACAUGCUGUUUGUAGGACAUCCCUUGCAUCUCCAGUACACAGUAAGUCUCAGCAGCUUUGUACCGCGACAUAACUUUCUAAGCAUUGAUCUGCCUGUGAUGAUAGAGACAUUCUGCAAGUACCUAAUUUCACUGUCAGGAGCAUUGGCAGUUAUCAAUGCUGUACCCUGCUUUGCUUUGGAUGGCCAGUGGAUAUUAAAUUCUUUCCUAGAAGCCACUCUGAGCUCACUGAUUGUAGAAAAGCAAAACAGGGAGCUUGUUGGCUUUUUAAUUUUACUUGCUGGCAGUGCACUUUUGGCUGCCAAUGUUGCACUAGGACUUUGGAUGGUGACAGCACGGUAGAACAUUGGAUAUGCUUCCAUCGGUUAUCAAACUACACAAAAAUAAUGAAUCUAUUGCCUUUCAAAAUUUGGUCAGCACUGAAAUUGAAAUAAUUCCCUUAAAAUGGCACUGGAAAAACAAUCACUCAUGGCUGCUGUUUUAACUUAAAUCUGUACGAUGUUGUGCCUGUGAUCAUGGAAAAACUGAACGAAACAAUGCUCUCACAGGCUUGGCCUCCUGAAGUUCACUGAUGUGGGGUAGCAGCCCCUUGCCUCUGAUUUUCAGUCAUGUCAACCUGGGCAUGUCGGCACAGAUCCUGGUAAGAGAGAGGAAGUCAUCCAGUCAGUCUAGUAUGAGUCAGUCCCUUUGGGAACUAUUAAAAGUCACAAAAAACAAGAAAGGAAAAAUAAACUAUCAGAAACUGCCAAAAGGCUUCUCUUUCUUCAGGAGGCAUCUGGCAAGUCUAAUUCAUCACUCAUAAUAAACCUAACAGACAUUUCAGAGCAACAGCUCUCGUGCCAUUCUUCCAUCUCUCUGUGGACAAACUUGACAUGAGCAGCAUGGUUCUUAUAUGAGGCCCAGCUCUGAAGCUAUGCUCUGGAAGUCUAUUCACUCACCUAAGUGGCUGCUCACUAAUUUGAGCUCUUCCUUUCCAGGGCAUUGUGUCACUUUCCUCUGUUUCCAUAUCUUGUCCAGGCUACACUCCACAGAAUUAACUUGCAUUUAUGAGGUUUAAUGCAAUUUAGUAAGGCAAUAUGCUCACUUUUCAAAAAGACUGCCAUUGUUUAUGUGUCCGAGUUGCAGUCCUCUUUUUUUUUCUGAUCUAAAGCAACAACAACUGCAUGUGGUGAUUUCAAAAAUAUUCUAUGAAUAACAUUUAAAGUUUGAUAUGUUAUAUGUUCAAGCUGACUCCAGCUGCAUGUGACAAUCUGUUCAGCAUAAUAUUCCAUUUGGAGAUGUAGGCAAGGGGUAUUAAAAAAAAAUCCUUUGGAAAAACAUACACGUGUUCUAGCUGCUAUAAUGAGGCUGGCAGGUUGUUCCUGGUUAUUUAAUGUUCUACCAAAACCUGACACUUUACCAAAGGAAAAUAAAUCCAAUUUAUUUAUGUAAUCAAUUAAGACCAAACUUGCAGUAAGCAGAACGUCAACUCGUGUUUGACAUUAUGAUAAAUUUCAGGCUGGAGAAGAAUGGGGUGGUUUUAGCAAAACACACUAGUACACUGUAAAGACCCUAGGUAACUUCCGUGGGGCAUAUAGUACUGUAAGUGUUUAAAAAUAAUUCAUGGAUCCAUUCCUGCAUGUACUGGAUUUCUACUGAAUAAGGUUAGAUUUAGGUAUGUAGAGUUACUCUGAAUCAAAGCUUUAAGCAAACUGUGAUCAAUGCUCUUUGUUUAAAAAAAGACUCAGUGCAUAUCUUAGAUUAUCUAUGGAUGAAGAUAGUUCUUGACCUGGACCACUUUCUGAAGAAAAAGCUUUUCAAUGGAUCAGUUCUAUUCUUCUGUCAUCCUAACCUAUGGAUUACAUGCUGAUAAGCAAGUGCCAUUUUUGACUAUAUAUAUAUUUUGACUUUGGGGAGGUUUUUUGCUGGUUGGUUUGUUUGUUUGCUUAUUUGUGUAGCAACAGAACACAGAAGGCCAUAGAAUGUUUUUUGUAUGUUGUGUAUUUACUCUGGAAUAUUUCUAAU